rnacentral:tRNA from 1 species
AAGCUCUGUGGUGAAGUUCAUGUCAGGUUGCAAACCUGAAGACGUAGGCUAACAGCCUGCCGGGGCUUUCC